rnacentral:rRNA from 1 species
CCUACGGGUGGCAGCAGUGAGGAAUAUUGGUCAAUGGGCGCAAGCCUGAACCAGCCAAGUCGCGUGAGGGAUGACGGUCCUAUGGAUUGUAAACCUCUUUUGUCGGGGAGCAAGGCCCGCCACGUGUGGCGGGAAGGAGAGUACCCGAAGAAAAAGCAUCGGCUAACUCCGUGCCAGCAGCUGCGGUAAUAAGGAGGAUGCGAGCGUUACCCGGAUUUAUUGGUGUAAAGGGGUGCGUAGGCGGAAGGUUAAGUCAGCGGUCAAAGGUCAGUGCUCACCACCGGACUGCCGUUGAAACUGGUCUUCUUGAGUGAGCGAGAGGUAUGCGGAAUGCGUGGUGUAGCGGUGAAAUGCUUAGAUAUCACGCAGAACUCCGAUUGCGAAGGCAGCAUACCGGCGCUCAACUGACGCUGAGGCACGAAAGCGUGGGGAUCGAACAGGAUUAGAUACCCCAGUAGUC